rnacentral:misc_RNA from 1 species
GGACUACAAGGGUUUCUAAUCCUGUUUGCUCCCCACGCUUUCGCACCUCAGUGUCAGUAUCAGUCCAGGUAGUCGCCUUCGCCACUGGUGUUCCUUCCUAUAUCUACGCAUUUCACCGCUACACAGGAAAUUCCACUACCCUCUACCAUACUCUAGCUUGCCAGUUUUGGAUGCAGUUCCCAGGUUGAGCCCGGGGAUUUCACAUUCAACUUAACAAACCACCUACGCGCGCUUUACGCCCAGUAAUUCCGAUUAACGCUUGCACCCUCUGUAUUACCGCGGCUGCUG